AUGAAUAAAGGUUCAUUUAAGGCAUGCCUUAUUGACCAUAAACACAAUUUCAGAUUUUUUCUUCAUUGUAAUCAGAAUGUAAUCAAAAAGUAAUCAGGAUUACAAGGUAUUUUGAAAAGGAAUUGAUUAAAAUAAAUUACAUGUAAUCAGAUUCUUGGCUGAUUAAUAAUUACAAUGAUUACUUGAAAAAUUGUAAUCAAUUACAGCUGAUUAAUGAUUACAAUUACAAUUACCCCAAGCCUGGUUGUAAUACAUGUUAUACAGUUAUUUAUUUACGUUUGACUGUCCCUCUGGUAUCUUUCGUCUCUAUUUUGUAUCUGAAUUACAUUUAUCGCUAUGUAAUAACGCGUAAAUACUUACUUUGAUUUUUUAACCUAUCACUCCACUUAACAAUUGUGAAAGGGUUAUGGUCAAUAUCCGCAAUUAACGGCCCUAUUAGAAUGAAUGUUUAAACAAGUUGAUUGAGAAAAUCUAAAUCUAUUUUUUUUUCUUUCUUUGUUUAAAUACGUGUUUGUUUUAUAGUGAUCAAGAUUAUAACACCAUGCUGACCACUGUACCCCUUCUCAUGUUUACCUUAUAUGUCUCUUUUUUCACACAUUGUUGUCAAAAUUCAGAAACAAUUGCUCCUGUCAUACAAGUGAGAGGUUUGGCUAGCUUUAAAUAAAACCAGAUGUUAUCCACCAUUUUUUACAUAAUAAAAUGACAGUACCAAGUCAGGAAUAUGACAUUUAGUAUCCAUUCGUUUGUUGUGUUUAAGCUUUUGAUUUUUGCCAUUUAAUAGACAAGACAAGACAAGUUUAUUAAUACACUCUGGCAUAUAUUGUAUGCAACUAGAGCAACAACAUAAUUAGUUGGUCAAUAAAUAUUACAAAUAAAAAAUAACGCAACCCUUUUAUUAUAUUUAUUUCAGUACAGUACUAGCGUAGAAUGAAAUUUUUGAAGAUAGAUUAUUGAUAGAGUUCAUGCAGUUCGGAUUGAUUUAAUAUUGGCCAUGCUUUACGAAUAAGGUUUGUCAGAAUCAAUUUUGUUAAUAAGGGAAUUUCCGUUUUGAAUUUUCCUUGGAUAUUUUGUUAUUUUACUUGUUUCUAAAUUGUAAGUUUGUGUCAAUGUUUUAUUUCUGAAAGUAUGAAAAACAUAUUGGCCUGACAGAAAGGUAUUUCAUUUUAGAUGAUUUUUACUGAAAUCGUUAACUUCAUCACCCUAUAUUAUUAUUUCAAAAUUGCGGCAUGUUAAGUUAAAACAGAUAUGAUAUUUUAAAGAUUAAUUUACAUGAGCAGGUUUGAUAUUCGUUUAAUGAAUUUGCAACUAUAUGUUUACAAACAUUUGCUUUGUCAUUAAUUGAGACGUUGCCACUGUUCUACAUGUAUGUUAUGUAUUUCAUCAUUUAUA
rnacentral:lncRNA from 1 species